GAUUAGGUAGUUGUUGGGGUAACGGCCCAACAAGCCUUUGAUCGGUACGGGUUGUGGGAGCAAGAGCCCGGAGAUGGAUUCUGAGACACGAAUCCAGGCCCUACGGGGCGCAGCAGGCGCGAAAACUUUACAAUGCGGGAAACCGUGAUAAGGGAACUCCGAGUGCCCGUAAACGCGGGCUGUCCAUCUGCUUAAAAAACAGGUGAAGAAAGGGCCGGGCAAGACCGGUGCCAGCCGCCGCGGUAAUACCGGCGGCUCGAGUGGUGGCCACUAUUACUGGGCUUAAAGCGUCCGUAGCUUGGUUGUUAAGUCUCUUGGGAAAUCUGUCGGCUUAACCGACAGGCGUUUAAGGGAUACUGGCAACCUAGGGACCGGGAGAGGUGAGAGGUACUCCAGGGGUAGGAGUGAAAUCCUGUAAUCCUUGGGGGACCACCUGUGGCGUAGGCGUCUCACCAGAACGGCUCCGACAGUGAGGGACGAAAGCUGGGGGAGCAAACCGGAUUAGAUACCCGGGUAGUCCCAGCCGUAAACGAUGCGCGUUAGGUGUA
rnacentral:rRNA from 1 species